GACGAACGCUGGCGGCGUGCUUAACACAUGCAAGUCGAACGGUGAAAGCGGAGCUUGCUCCGCUGGAUCAGUGGCGAACGGGUGAGUAACACGUGGGCAACCUGCCCCUCACUUCGGGAUAACUCCGGGAAACCGGGGCUAAUACCGGAUAUGCCCGCCUCGGUCAUCCUUGGUGGUGGAAAGUUCUUCGGUGAGGGAUGGGCCCGCGGCCUAUCAGCUUGUUGGUGAGGUAGUGGCUCACCAAGGCGACGACGGGUAGCCGGCCUGAGAGGGCGACCGGCCACACUGGGACUGAGACACGGCCCAGACUCCUACGGGAGGCAGCAGUGGGGAAUAUUGCGCAAUGGGCGAAAGCCUGACGCAGCAACGCCGCGUGCGGGAUGACGGCCUUCGGGUUGUAAACCGCUUUCAGCAGGGAAGAAGCCGCAAGGUGACGGUACCUGCAGAAGAAGCACCGGCUAACUACGUGCCAGCCGCCGCGGUAA
rnacentral:rRNA from 1 species